AGAUGAUUAGCUCAGUUGGGAGAGCGGCUCCCUUACAAGGAGUAGGUCGACAGUUCGAACCUGUCAUCAUCUA
rnacentral:tRNA from 1 species